CAGUCGCCACGGUAAUACAGAGGGUGCGAGCGUUAAUCGGAUUUACUGGGCGUAAAGCGUGCGUAGGCGGCUUCUUAAGUCGGAUGUGAAAUCCCUGAGCUUAACUUAGGAAUUGCAUUCGAUACUGGGAAGCUAGAGUAUGGGAGAGGAUGGUAGAAUUCCAGGUGUAGCGGUGAAAUGCGUAGAGAUCUGGAGGAAUACCGAUGGCGAAGGCAGCCAUCUGGCCUAAUACUGACGCUGAGGUACGAAAGCAUGGGGAGCAAACAGGAUUAGAUCCCCAGUAGUCCCUGUCUCUUAUACA
rnacentral:rRNA from 1 species